rnacentral:lncRNA from 1 species
UGCACGGAUAGAUGUAGCUGAUUGAAGCAAAACGUGGAAUGAGCACAAGAAAGCUAUGGCCAUCCCUUUUUCUUUGUUGCAGAAUGUGCUCUCUUAAGAUUUAGGACUGAAAAUAUGCAGUGCCAUUGCCGUUUCCAAAGACGGUAAGACAGAGAGGUGCUUGGCUAAUGAAGGGGAGGUUUGCUUACAACAUAUAUCUGCAGGCUGACGACUACACAGAAUCUCUUGCCUGGUUGCUUUAAUAAUGUAUGUAUACAUAUGUGUAUGUGUGUGAGUGUAUAUUGUAUAUGUGUAUGUAUGUGUAUAUAUAUAUAUAGCGUGUGUGUGUAUAUAUAUAUAUAUAUAUAUAUAUAUAUAUAUAUAUAUAUAUAUAUAUAUAUAUAUAUAUAUAUAGUUAUCUGUGUGUGUAUAUGUAUAUAAAUAUAUACAUUUGUAAACAUUUAUAUGCAUGUGUAUAUAUACAAAUAUUAUGUGUAUGAAUAUGUAUAUAUAUAUUUAUACACACACAUACACACUUAUGUGUGUGUAUAUAUAUAUAUAUAUAUAUAUAUAAAGAGAGAGUGAGAGUGAAGGUGAGAUAUAGAUGUAUAUAUGUAUGUAUAUGUAUUUAUGCAUAUGUUUCUUACUCAUUCUGUCAGUCAUCCAUGUGUGUAUUUAUCUAUGUAUCUAUAUAUGUAUGCAUGUAUGUGUGUAUGUAUGUAUGUAUAUAUGUAUGUAUGUACCUAUCUAUCUACCUAUUUAUCUAUCUACCAAACUGUCUAUCUAAUUAACAAACUAACAAUCUAUGCAUGUAUCUGUCUAUAUACACAUGUAUAUAUAAAAAUAGCCCUUAAUAUGUUUAUGUAUAUAUAUAUUUAAAAAUACAUGUGUUCUUGUAUCUUUCUAUCCAUGUACCUAUAUGCAUAUCUACAUUAAAGAGAAUUAAUCCAUAUGUACAUAUAUACAUACAUAUCUAUCUAUCUAUCUAUCUAUCUAUCUAUCUAUCUAUCUAUCUAUCUAUCUAUCUAUCUAUAUUAAAAAAUGUAUGUAUAUGUGUACUAGUGUGUGUGUGUCUAUUCAUUAUUCUUUUACUGGUUCAAUUCAUUACGCAGUGGUCAUAAUGAUCAGCACCAUCUUGUAUCUGGGCAUCAGCAUCGAUCUUACAUCUUAUUUUAACAUGCACAGAAAAACGAGCCUUAAAAAUUCUCAUGCACACAAACACACACAUACAUAUAAAUACACACACACACACACACCUAUGUACAUAAAUACAAGCAGGCCAUAGAAUUGUAUUAUAUAUUUUCUUUUUAAUGUAUAUAUGUUAAUUAGUGUUAAUUUCACUCAAAAUUAAAUUUGGCAAAAAUAAAAAUUUAAAAAAAAAAAUCAGAAAAGGAAAAACAAAAAAAAAAAAAAAAAUGCAAACCAACAAAAUAUAAAACUGUGAAUUAAUAAAAGAAAAAAGCAAAAAAAUAUAACAAAAAAUGACAAAACAAACUACACACAUACACUCACACACACAGGCACACGCACAUACACAAACACAUACACAAGCACAUACACACACGAAAGUAAAAUGUUAAUGAAGGUACUCCUAGACUCCGCAAUCUAUCCAUUUGGCAGCACCAGGCGGAAUGCGUUUUGACAUUUAUAAAAAAAGCAAAAACAAAUUAUUUUUACCCAGUAAGUCGGCUGCAUAUAUUCCAUAUUUGGCAGAUUUCACAGUGAUACGUCUCAUCUUGGUGGAAUUAAGCUGUUUCUAUUGAUGCAGAACCAGUCUCACAGAUGCAAAGAAAUCACAAAAGGACCAUAUGCCUUAUGUUUUUAUACAUCCUCUCUUCUGUGAAUAACUUGCUAACUAUCUAUCUAUCUAUCUAUCUAUCUAUCUAUCUAUCUAUCUAUCUAUCUAUCUAUCUAUCUAUCUAUCUAUCUCUCUGUCAAUCUAUCUAUCUAUCUAUCAGUCUGUCUACCUACAUAUGUAUGUAUGUAUGUAUGUAUGUAUGUAUGUAUGCAUGUAUCUCUCUAUCUAUCUAUCUGUCUAUCUAUCGAUCUAUUUGUCUAUCUAGCUGGCUAUCAAUCUGUCUAUUUACCUAUCUACCUGUCUAUCUCUCUCUCUCUCUCAAUUUUUCUAUCUAUCUAUCUAUCUAUCUAUCUAUCUUUCUAUCUAUCCAUCUGUUUCUCUAUCUACAUAUUUAGGUAUCUAUCUAUCUUCCAGUUAGUUAUUUACAUAGCUUUACAUCCCUCCUUUCCUGUAUACAUACGCAUGCAUGUAUGUAUAUACAAAUAAGUACAUAUGUAACACAUAUGUGUGUGUAUAUAUAUAUAUAUAUAUAUGUAUAUAUAUAUGUAUGUAUAUAUAUGUAUAUAUGUAUGCUUCUCUUCAUAUGUGCCUACCUGUUUGCAAGCAUACCUAUUCAGCACUCACCACUCACCCUCUGUCUCUCCUUACUCUCUCUCUCAUCUCUCAUUUUAAAAAUAUAAAUAUACAUACAUAUUUAUAUUUAUAUUUGUAUAUGAAACACAC